GAUGAAGAACGCAGCGAAAUGCGAUAAGUAGUGUGAAUUGCAGAAUUCAGUGAAUCAUCGAAUCUUUGAACGCACAUUGCGCCCCUUGGUAUCCCGAGGGGCAUGCCUGUUCGAGAGUCAUUAACAACCGUUUCGAUCCCUUUCUUUCAGAAAUUACAAAGAGGAAAAGGGUUUGGUUAUGGUGGAGGAGGGAAAGGGAGCGUUUAGCCUGUAAAAAAAGAGGCUGUGUUCCGCCUCCCCCCCAAAAUUGUACAGGCGGUCGUGUGCGCCCACGCAUCGAGGUGUUGUAAAAGCUGCCACGGCACUUUUCACCUGUGCAGUGCGAGAUUGGCCAGCCGGUUUAAAAACCCCUCCAAACAAUCAAAGGUUGACCUCGGAUCAGGUAGGGAUACCCGCUGAACUUAAGCAUAUCAAUAAGCGGAGGA
rnacentral:misc_RNA from 1 species